UUUUGCAUUCAGCUGCCAUGCGCUGCGGCUUGCGCGUCCUCACCGAAUGAUCCACCGACCACCAGUGACCCGCGGGCUGUCCAUGUACGCUGCGGCCGAGCUGCACGCACGCGAGUACGGUCACGCCCGAGGCCCACCUGGCAUCGUAGUAGCAUCCGUGGCCCAGCUGCUGCAGGCGCUGGAAAUCGCCCAUGCACCCGCUCACGCUCUCCUCCACCGCGCUCCUCCGCCUCAUCAAGUCACUCUCGCCGGCGGCGGGGCCGAGGGCCCACCUCACGGCCUCGGCGAUCCACUGCCUCCUCUUCAAGGAAGGGCUCCUCCACGUCGGGGCGCACCUCCCAACGGCGCUGCUCUCCGCGUACGCCGCGCUCGGCAGGCCGCGGCACGCGCGGGAUCUGUUCGACGAAAUGCCCGAGCCGAGCCUCGUCGCUCGCACCGCCAUGGCGCGGGCGCACGCGGCGGCCGGGCAGGCGGCCCAAGCGCUCGCCGUGUUCGGGGACAUGCUCGCGGACGGCCUGCUCCCCGACAAUGUGGCCCUGGCGGUUGCGCUCGCGGCAUGCCACGGGGUGAGCUCGUCCUCCGCGGCGGCCCGGAAACCUGGGAAGAUGGUUCAUGCUCUCAUCGUGACAAGCGGCAUUGUGCCAGAUGUGUUCGUCUCCACCGAACUGAUCAGGGUCUACGGGGAGUGCGGCGAGCUGUCUGUUUCACGGUGGGUGUUCGAUGACAUGCCAGUGAGGAGUAUUGUUUCGUGGAACGCCAUGGUGCAUCAGUAUGUCAGGCAUAGUAAUGUUGGCGCUGCAUACGAGCUGUUUCUUGCAAUGCCAAGGAGGGAUGUGGUGUCAUGGAAUACAAUGAUUGCCGGGUAUUGCCUCAUUGGCCAAUGUAGGGAGGCACUAGAAUUGUUUCGUCAGAUGGUAUCGCCAUCUUCAUGUCCGGUGCAUCCAAAUGGACCUACAAUGAGCACUGUCCUUGCUGCUUGUGCCGGUGCAGGUUGUUUGGAGACUGGGAUUUGGGUCCAUGCCUACAUUGACAGGAACCGAAUGAAUGAUGACGGCUCAUUGGACCGGUCCUUGAUAGACAUGUAUGCCAAAUGUGGAAGCAUUGAAAAGGCCCUUCAGGUGUCUGAGAAAGCACCAGGGAAGAGGGACUUGUACUCAUGGACAACAGUGAUUUGUGGGUUGGCAAUGCAUGGUAGGGCUGCUGAUGCUUUACGCAUGUUUGACAUGAUGCAAGAUAAUGGUAUUCACCCUGACGAUGUUACUCUUGUUGGGGUACUAAAUGCAUGUGCGCAUGGCGGACUCAUAGAUAAAGGUCUUCACCACUUCUACUCCAUGGAGGAGAGAUAUGCAAUCGUACCCAAAAUUGAACACUACGGGUGUAUCAUUGAUCUUCUUGGUCGGGUUGGGAGAUUGCAAGAAGCAUACAGCAUGAUCAGGACCAUGCCGAUGAAGCCUAAUGCGGUAAUCUGGGGUGCAUUCUUGAAUGCAUGCAAAGUUCACAGCAACGUGGAACUUGGUGAGAUCGCAGCAGCUGAAGUCAGCAGGUUGGAUCCAAAUGAACCCUGGGCAAGGGUGAUGCUGUCCAGCAUGUAUGCAAAAGCUCAGGACUGGACCAGUCUAGCCAGGGAGAGGAAGGAGAUGAACAGCCUGCAGAUGAAGAAAACACCAGGGUGCAGCUCAAUUGAGCUUGAUGGGGAGGUGCAUGAGUUUGUCGCUGGUGGUUUUCAGCAUCCCCAGCUUGGUGAAAUUUGCACUAUACUAGAGAAUAUUGAAGCACAAACACAUGCAGGCUAAAGAGACGUGGAUGCCUCAUCUUCUGAGGUUUUUGGUUCUGCCAAUGAUGCUAGCAUGUCGUUGCAAGUUUCUUGGCCUCCACAAGUAGUUAACUGACCUCAGUGCUUUCCAUUAGUCUGUGAAUGUUUGAGGGAAGAAUUUUGAGCUUGGUGACUUGGUCGUAUUGCGAAGAAUUGAAGGAGGUUAAAAUCUUAGGGCCCAGAGUAAAUGAUUAGGUGCUGAAAAAAAUCUGUUUUGAUUGAUCGUACUGGAAGUUGAACUAGCAAUUGAAGCUAGUGGAGGCAUAGCACCGACUAGUGGACUGAAGGAUGCUGCUGGACAUUUAGCACAUCCUUUUCAACUGUGUUUAUGUACCAAAGUUAGGAUUUAAUUUUUGUAUCGCAUUUUGGGUUCAAACCAAAACUACUUUAUAGAUCUGACAUUUAUUUACCCUUAUUGAAUGGUGGUGUAUUUUCCUUAAUAAAAUUCGAUAGAUUUUGACA